AAGUCGUAACAAGGUCUCCGUAGGUGAACCUGCGGAGGGAUCAUUACAGAGUUCAUGCCCUAACGGGUAGAAUCUCCCACCCCGUGUUAUUAUUACUUUGUUGCUUUGGCGGGCCGUCAGGCUCACGUCUGGCUACCGGCCCCGGCUGGUAAGCGCCCGCCAGAGAACCCAAAACCCUGUUUAUUAGUGUCGUCUGAGUACUAUAUAAUAGUUAAAACUUUCAACAACGGAUCUCUUGGUUCUG
rnacentral:misc_RNA from 1 species